rnacentral:sRNA from 1 species
AUUUUAAAAGCCUAAGUACUGUAUCCUUGUUAGAAGAUACAAAGACAAACACUCAUACGGACUUUGGCUACACCAUCAAAGCUUUGAGAAGCAAGAAGAAGCUUGGUUAGUGUUUUCGAGUCGAAUAUGACUAGAUGUGAUGUGUAUGAUUGAGUAUAAGAAAUUAAACCGCAAUCGGAUCUUAAAAGCCUAAGUAGUGUUUCCUUGUUAGUGUUUUGGAGUGAAAUAUGACUAGAUGUCAUGUGUAUGAGUGAGUAUAACAACUAGAACCGCAAUUGGAUUUUAAAAGCCUAAGCAUUGUAUCCUUGUUAGAAGAUACAAAGACAAACACUCAUACGGACUUCGGCUACACCAUCAAAGCUUUGAGAAGCAAGAAGAAGCUUGGUUAGUGUUA